rnacentral:rRNA from 1 species
CAAUAGCGUAUAUUAAAGUUGUUGCAGUUAAGAAGCUCGUAGUUGGAUUUCUGGUAGGAGUGACCGUUCCGAACUUGAUUGUUCGUGUAUUGUGUUUUCUCCAGCCAUCCUUGUGGAGAACUUUUCUUGCAUUAAUUUGUAGGGAUUGGGACCCGCAUCGUUUACUGUGAAAAAAUUAGAGUGUUUAAAGCAGGCAAUCGCUUGAAUACAUUAGCAUGGAAUAAUAAGAUAGGACUUUGGUACUAUUUUGUUGGUUUGCAUACCAAAUUAAUGAUCAACAGGAACAGUUUGAGGAUAUUCGUAUGAACAUGUCAGAGGUGAAAUUCUUGGAUUUUGAUCAGACGAACUACUGCGAAAGCAUUUAUCAAGGAUGUUUUCAUUAA